rnacentral:rRNA from 1 species
AGUGAACGCUGGCGGUAGGCCUAACACAUGCAAGUCGAACGGCAGCACAGUAAGAGCUUGCUCUUACGGGUGGCGAGUGGCGGACGGGUGAGGAAUACAUCGGAAUCUACUUUUUCGUGGGGGAUAACGUAGGGAAACUUACGCUAAUACCGCAUACGACCUACGGGUGAAAGCAGGGGAUCUUCGGACCUUGCGCGAUUGAAUGAGCCGAUGUCGGAUUAGCUAGUUGGCGGGGUAAAGGCCCACCAAGGCGACGAUCCGUAGCUGGUCUGAGAGGAUGACCGGCAAAAUUGGAACUGAGCAACGGUCCAGACUCCUACGGGAGGAAGCAGUGGGAAAUAUUGGAAAAUGGGCGCAAGCCUGAUCAAGCCAUACCGCGUGGGUGAAGAAGGCCUUCGGGUUGUAAAGCCCUUUUUUGGGAAAGAAAAGCAGCAGGUUAAUACCCCGCUGUUCUGACGGUACCCAAAGAAUAAGCACCGGCUAACUUCGUG